rnacentral:rRNA from 1 species
CACCAGCGCCACGAGUGGGGACCAGUAUUAUUGGGCCUAAAGCAUCCGUAGCCGGGUUGAUAAAUCUUUUGUGAAAUUGUCUGGCUCAACCAGACAGCGUGCAGAAGAGACUGUCAAUCUUGAGACCGGGAGGAGUUAGAAGUAUGCAUCGGGUAGCGGUAAAAUGCUAUAAUCCUUUGCAGACUACCUGUGGCGAAGGCGUCUAACUAGAACGGGUCUGACGGUGAGGGAUGAAAGCUGGGGGAGCGAUCCG